ensembl:lncRNA
UGCAGACUGAAGCACAACGCUGAUGAAAAUUUGGACGGACGUGGUCACUGAUGAAACAUCUGCUGAAGAGAAUCAAACAGCUGGCAUCUGAAAGAAGAGGAGACAACAACAUGGUGUGGCAGCCAUGAGUGAGCCAGCCCUGCAAACCCUGUGGAUGGACGAUGCAGUGGACAGUGGGAGGAAGCAUCCUGAAGCUCUCUUUGCAGACCACCCUGUGUGAUUCUCCACUCGCCGACCAGAAAAGACAAACCGCAGGUCUCAGUUGCAGCAGCCCAUCCAUCCAUGUCUGAUCGUGCUCGGGCAGCUUCAGCAACACUGCCAGAGACUUCCUGUAAUCUAUUACAGUUGUUAAAGAAACGGUCCAGGAACAGGUCACUCAGGUUAAUCCUGUGUGAACAACUGUAAAUGUUGUUUUUCAUCUUUACAUACUGUGUAUUUGAAAUAUUCUUGUUUAAUUGUUAUUGUUAUUUACUUUAUUGCUAUCAAAUAAAUAUCCAAGUAAUAUUGUUCAAAGUUAGCGUUAUGUUCAUACGUGUUACAAAUGCCUGUAAAUCAAAUUGAGUUCAGUGACAAUUACUGUUUGUUUGAAUCAAUUUAUUAAUAACAUAAAACCUUUAAACUAAUGCAACACAUAUAACAAUGUAACAAAUAUAUUCAAAUAAAUAAAUUUCUCAAUACAUAACUCAUUUGGGAACUAAUCUUUCUAGAAGUGAAAACAGUCUGUCCGUCCUCUCCCUGCUCUCCUCUCCUCAGCCUCCCUUUGCUGCCUCAUGUCCUCUCUGAUGAGGUCUAGCAGCUCAUCAUCCCCGUCUCUUUUCCUCUUUCUCCCUGUCGUAGGUGGCUGAGCCGCUUUGUCAUCGCUGUCGUUUUGGUCACCCACUGCUGUGCUUGGCCCUGGAGUGUCCUCAGGGAGAGAGGAAAUUAGGACAGGAGGCUUAAUGGAAGGCAUCUGUCCUAUCACCUCAUCCAUGAGGGCAAACCAGGGCCAAGUAGCAGCAGUGGGC